UUAAGCGACUAAGCGUACACGGUGGAUGCCCUGGCAGUCAGAGGCGAUGAAGGACGUGCUAAUCUGCGAUAAGCGUCGGUAAGGUGAUAUGAACCGUUAUAACCGGCGAUUUCCGAAUGGGGAAACCCAGUGUGAUUCGUCACACUAUCAUUAACUGAAUCCAUAGGUUAAUGAGGCGAACCGGGGGAACUGAAACAUCUAAGUACCCCGAGGAAAAGAAAUCAACCGAGAUUCCCCCAGUAGCGGCGAGCGAACGGGGAGCAGCCCAGAGCCUGAAUCAGUGUGUGUGUUAGUGGAAGCGUCUGGAAAGGCGUGCGAUACAGGGUGACAGCCCCGUACACAAAAAUGCACAUAUUGUGAGCUCGAUGAGUAGGGCGGGACACGUGGUAUCCUGUCUGAAUAUGGGGGGACCAUCCUCCAAGGCUAAAUACUCCUGACUGACCGAUAGUGAACCAGUACCGUGAGGGAAAGGCGAAAAGAACCCCGGCGAGGGGAGUGAAAAAGAACCUGAAACCGUGUACGUACAAGCAGUGGGAGCACGCUUAGGCGUGUGACUGCGUACCUUUUGUAUAAUGGGUCAGCGACUUAUAUUCUGUAGCAAGGUUAACCGAAUAGGGGAGCCGAAGGGAAACCGAGUCUUAACUGGGCGUUAAGUUGCAGGGUAUAGACCCGAAACCCGGUGAUCUAGCCAUGGGCAGGUUGAAGGUUGGGUAACACUAACUGGAGGACCGAACCGACUAAUGUUGAAAAAUUAGCGGAUGACUUGUGGCUGGGGGUGAAAGGCCAAUCAAACCGGGAGAUAGCUGGUUCUCCCCGAAAGCUAUUUAGGUAGCGCCUCGUGAAUUCAUCUCCGGGGGUAGAGCACUGUUUCGGCAAGGGGGUCAUCCCGACUUACCAACCCGAUGCAAGCUGCGAAUACCGGAGAAUGUUAUCACGGGAGACACACGGCGGGUGCUAACGUCCGUCGUGAAGAGGGAAACAACCCAGACCGCCAGCUAAGGUCCCAAAGUCAUGGUUAAGUGGGAAACGAUGUGGGAAGGCCCAGACAGCCAGGAUGUUGGCUUAGAAGCAGCCAUCAUUUAAAGAAAGCGUAAUAGCUCACUGGUCGAGUCGGCCUGCGCGGAAGAUGUAACGGGGCUAAACCAUGCACCGAAGCUGCGGCAGCGACACUAUGUGUUGUUGGGUAGGGGAGCGUUCUGUAAGCCUGUGAAGGUGUACUGUGAGGUAUGCUGGAGGUAUCAGAAGUGCGAAUGCUGACAUAAGUAACGAUAAAGCGGGUGAAAAGCCCGCUCGCCGGAAGACCAAGGGUUCCUGUCCAACGUUAAUCGGGGCAGGGUGAGUCGACUCCUAAGGCGAGGCCGAAAGGCGUAGUCGAUGGGAAACAGGUUAAUAUUCCUGUACUUGGUGUUACUGCGAAGGGGGGACGGAGAAGGCUAUGUUGGCCGGGCGACGGUUGUCCCGGUUUAAGCGUGUAGGCUGGUUUUCCAGGCAAAUCCGGAAAACUAAGGCUGAGGCGUGAUGACGAGGCACUACGGUGCUGAAGCAACAAAUGCCCUGCUUCCAGGAAAAGCCUCUAAGCAUCAGGUAACAUCAAAUCGUACCCCAAACCGACACAGGUGGUCAGGUAGAGAAUACCAAGGCGCUUGAGAGAACUCGGGUGAAGGAACUAGGCAAAAUGGUGCCGUAACUUCGGGAGAAGGCACGCUGAUAUGUAGGUGAAGUCCCUCGCGGAUGGAGCUGAAAUCAGUCGAAGAUACCAGCUGGCUGCAACUGUUUAUUAAAAACACAGCACUGUGCAAACACGAAAGUGGACGUAUACGGUGUGACGCCUGCCCGGUGCCGGAAGGUUAAUUGAUGGGGUCAGCGCAAGCGAAGCUCUUGAUCGAAGCCCCGGUAAACGGCGGCCGUAACUAUAACGGUCCUAAGGUAGCGAAAUUCCUUGUCGGGUAAGUUCCGACCUGCACGAAUGGCGUAAUGAUGGCCAGGCUGUCUCCACCCGAGACUCAGUGAAAUUGAACUCGCUGUGAAGAUGCAGUGUACCCGCGGCAAGACGGAAAGACCCCGUGAACCUUUACUAUAGCUUGACACUGAACAUUGAGCCUUGAUGUGUAGGAUAGGUGGGAGGCUUUGAAGUGUGGACGCCAGUCUGCAUGGAGCCGACCUUGAAAUACCACCCUUUAAUGUUUGAUGUUCUAACGUUGACCCGUAAUCCGGGUUGCGGACAGUGUCUGGUGGGUAGUUUGACUGGGGCGGUCUCCUCCUAAAGAGUAACGGAGGAGCACGAAGGUUGGCUAAUCCUGGUCGGACAUCAGGAGGUUAGUGCAAUGGCAUAAGCCAGCUUGACUGCGAGCGUGACGGCGCGAGCAGGUGCGAAAGCAGGUCAUAGUGAUCCGGUGGUUCUGAAUGGAAGGGCCAUCGCUCAACGGAUAAAAGGUACUCCGGGGAUAACAGGCUGAUACCGCCCAAGAGUUCAUAUCGACGGCGGUGUUUGGCACCUCGAUGUCGGCUCAUCACAUCCUGGGGCUGAAGUAGGUCCCAAGGGUAUGGCUGUUCGCCAUUUAAAGUGGUACGCGAGCUGGGUUUAGAACGUCGUGAGACAGUUCGGUCCCUAUCUGCCGUGGGCGCUGGAGAACUGAGGGGGGCUGCUCCUAGUACGAGAGGACCGGAGUGGACGCAUCACUGGUGUUCGGGUUGUCAUGCCAAUGGCACUGCCCGGUAGCUAAAUGCGGAAGAGAUAAGUGCUGAAAGCAUCUAAGCACGAAACUUGCCCCGAGAUGAGUUCUCCCUGACUCCUUGAGAGUCCUGAAGGAACGUUGAAGACGACGACGUUGAUAGGCCGGGUGUGUAAGCGCAGCGAUGCGUUGAGCUAACCGGUACUAAUGAACCGUGAGGCUUAACCUU
rnacentral:rRNA from 1 species